UACGAAGGGGGCUAGCGUUGUUCGGAAUUACUGGGCGUAAAGCGCACGUAGGCGGAUGUUUAAGUUAGGGGUGAAAUCCCAGGGCUCAACCCUGGAACUGCCUCUAGUACUGGGCAUCUAGAGUCCGAGAGAGGUGAGUGGAAUUCCGAGUGUAGAGGUGAAAUUCGUAGAUAUUCGGAGGAACACCAGUGGCGAAGGCGGCUCACUGGCUCGGUACUGACGCUGAGGUGCGAAAGCGUGGGGAGCAAACAGG
rnacentral:rRNA from 1 species